GACGAACGCUGGCGGCGUGCUUAACACAUGCAAGUCGAACGGAAAGGCCCUGCUUUUGUGGGGUGCUCGAGUGGCGAACGGGUGAGUAACACGUGAGUAACCUGCCCUUGACUUUGGGAUAACUUCAGGAAACUGGGGCUAAUACCGGAUAGGAGCUCCUGCUGCAUGGGGGGGGUUGGAAAGUUUCGGCGGUUGGGGGUGGACUCGCGGCUUAUCCGCUUGUUGGUGGGGUAGUGGCUUACCAAGGCUUUGACGGGUAGCCGGCCUGAGGGGGUGAGCGGCCACAUUGGGACUGAGUGACGGCCCAGACUCCUACUGGAGGCAGCAGUGGGGAAUAUUGCCCGAUGGGCGGAGGCCGGAUGCAGAAACGCCGCGGGCGGGAUGACGGCCUUCGGGUUGUAAACCGCUUUCGCCUGUGACGAAGCGUGAGUGACGGUAAUGGGUAAAGAAGCACCGGCUAACUACGUGC
rnacentral:rRNA from 1 species